GAUGAACGCUGGCGGCGUGCUUAACACAUGCAAGUCGAACGAUGAUGCACCGCAUGCGGUGUGGAUUAGUGGCGAACGGGUGAGUAACACGUGAGUAACCUGCCCUUGACUCUGGGAUAAGCCUGGGAAACUGGGUCUAAUACCGGAUAUGACCUUUCACCGCAUGGUGGGGGGUGGAAAGCUUUUGUGGUUUUGGAUGGACUCGCGGCCUAUCCGCUUGUUGGGGGGGUAAUGGCCUACCAAGGCGAUGACGGGUAGCCGGCCAGAGAGGGGGACCGGCCACACUGGGACUGAGACACUGCCCAGACGCCUACGGGAGGCAGCAGUGGGGAAUAUUGCACAAUGGGCGGAAGCCUGAUGCAGCGACGCCGCGUGAGGGAUGACGGCCUUCGGGUUGUAAACCUCCUUCAGUAGGGAAGAAGCGAAAGUGACGGUACCUGCAGAAGAAGCGCCGGCUAACUACGUGCCAGCAGCCGCCGUAA
rnacentral:rRNA from 1 species